GUUUCUAAUAUUGGUUCCUCCUGCACAUGAAAGGAACAUUAUUCUGACAGCAGUCUCACUACCCUUGGGUGUUAUCCGAAGAGCAUGUUUUAUACCCACCUAAUGCAUUUGAGGAAACCCUAACCAGAGUCUGAAUUUUGCCAGUGAUUCUAACCUCGACGUUGAGGAGGAGUUUAGAUAUGAACCUCAUCAAGUUAAGGAAGAAUAACCGAUGUGAGAAUAAUGUCAGAAGAGCAAGUGCAAAACAAAAAGAAAAAUCUAACACUCAAAGUGUCAAAGAUGCAACCCAGCACUUGUGCCUGUUGGCGCGUCAAUUGCUGCAGACCACCAGCGCAGUUCUAAACAGCUGCAGAUGGAUGCCAGUUCAUGAAAGCUAUACAAACAGUGGGCAGCAAGUGUAGGCCUACAGCAAUGUGUCAGUGUGACACUGAGCCCUUCGUAGAAUGUGGAUGAAGCAAGAGAUAUGGAGCAAGGCCUUCAGUUACACUGGAGUUGAUUUGUUGGCACAGUUUAGAUGUGGUGAACAGAAAAGAACUCAAAGCUUGUCAGGCUUUUAAAACCCAGCUCUGAGUCACCUCAUCACUUUUCUCUCUCUACUUUAUUUCCUCUUCUGCUCUUGUUAACCUGCAGUUACACGUGCUGUUCCUUUACUUUUGUUACUCAAUAAAGAAUCACGUUAGCUGUAGCUUUAAAUGAACAGAUCAUGUGGGCCAUUUCUGGUUACAGUCUUUA